rnacentral:rRNA from 1 species
AGUACGUUCGCAAGAAUGAAACUCAAAGGAAUUGACGGGGGCCCGCACAAGCGGAGGAGCAUGUGGUUUAAUUCGAUGAUACGCGAGGAACCUUACCAAGGCUUAAAUGUAAUAUGACCGGUUGAGAGAUCAACCUUUUUUCGAACAGAUUACAAGGUGCUGCAUGGUUGUCGUCAGCUCGUGCCGUGAGGUGUCGGGUUAAGUCCCAUAACGAGCGCAACCCCUAUUUUUAGUUACCAGCGAGUAAUGUCAGGAACUCUAGAAAAACUGCCUGUGCAAACAGAGAGGAAGGUGGGGAUGACGUCAAAUCAUCACGGCCCUUAUGUCUUGGGCUACACACGUGCUACAAUGGUUACUACAAUGUGAUGCCAUCUGGUGACAGAGAGCUAAUCAAUAAAGGUAAUCUCAGUUCGGAUUGGAGUCUGCAACUCGACUCUAUGAAGUUGGAUUCGCUAGUAAUCGUAUAUCAGCCAUGAUACGGUGAAUACGUUCCCGGGCCUUGUACACACCGCCCGUCAAGCCAUGGAAGUUUGGGGUACCUGAAGUCAGUAACCGCAAGGAACUGCCUAGGGUAAAACAAAUAACUAGGGCUAAGUCGUAACAAGGUAACC